rnacentral:rRNA from 1 species
AUUGAACGCUGGCGGCAUGCUUUACACAUGCAAGUCGAACGGCAGCGCGGGCUUCGGCCUGGCGGCGAGUGGCGAACGGGUGAGUAAUACAUCGGAACGUGCCCAGUAGUGGGGGAUAGCUCGGCGAAAGCCGGAUUAAUACCGCAUACGACCUGAGGGUGAAAGCGGGGGAUCUUCGGACCUCGCGCUAUUGGAGCGGCCGAUGGCAGAUUAGCUAGUUGGUGGGGUAAAGGCCUACCAAGGCGACGAUCUGUAGCUGGUCUGAGAGGACGACCAGCCACACUGGGACUGAGAAACGGCCCAGACUCCUACGGGAGGCAGCAGUGGGGAAUUUUGGACAAUGGGCGAAAGCCUGAUCCAGCAAUGCCGCGUGUGUGAUGAAGGCCUUCGGGUUGUAAAGCACUUUUGGCGGGAACGAAAAGGACUGUGCCAAUACCACGGUUCGAUGACGGUACCCGCAGAAUAAGCACCGGCUAACUACGUG